rnacentral:rRNA from 1 species
UACGUAGGCAGCGAGCGUUGUUCGGAGUUACUGGGCGUAAAGCGUGCGUAGGCGGUGCCAUAAGUCUGUUGUGAAAUCUCCCGGCUUAACUGGGAGGGUGCGGUGGAAACUGUGGUGCUGGAGUGUGGGAGAGGUAGGCGGAAUUCCUGGUGUAGCGGUGAAAUGCGUAGAUAUCAGGAGGAACACCUGUGGUGUAGACGGCUUACUGGACCAUGACUGACGCUGAGGAGCGAAAGCGUGGGGAGCGAACAGG